rnacentral:tRNA from 1 species
UCCUCGAUAGCUCAAUGGUGGAGCAACCGGCUGUUAACCGGUAGGUUGUAGGUUCGAAUCCUACUCGGGGAGCCA